rnacentral:misc_RNA from 2 species
AGCAGCCGCGGUAAUUCCAGCUCCAAUAGCGUAUAUUAAAGUUGUUGCAGUUAAAAAGCUCGUAGUUGAACUUCGGGGUUUACUCAUUGGUCAGGCUUAAUUGUCUGUACUGGUGAGAUGAAUCUCUACCUUCUGAGGAACUUUCAUGCCAUUUAUUUGGUGUGAUUGGAAAUCAGGACUGUUACUUUGAAAAAUUAGAGUGUUUAAAGCAGGCUAACGUCUGAAUACAUUAGCAUGGAAUAAUGAAAUAGGACGGAUUGAUUCUAUUUCGUUGGUUUCUAGGGUCACCGUAAUGAUUAAUAGGGAUAGUUGGGGGCAUUAGUAUUCAAUUGUCAGAGGUGAAAUUCUUGGAUUUAUUGAAGACUAACUACUGCGAAAGCAUUUGCCAGGGAUGUUUUCAUUAAUCAAGAACGAAAGUUAGGGGAUCGAAGACGAUCAGAUACCGUCGUAGUCUUAACCAUAAACUAUGCCGACUAGGGAUCGGACGAAGUUAAUUAAUAAUGACGCGUUCGGCACCUUA